GACGAACGCUGGCGGCGUGCUUAACACAUGCAAGUCGAACGAUGAGGCCUAGCUUGCUAGGUGGAUUAGUGGCGAACGGGUGAGUAAUACGUGAGUAACCUACCUUUAACUCUGGGAUAAGCCUGGGAAACUGGGUCUAAUACCGGAUACGACCAAUCUCCGCAUGGGGUGUUGGUGGAAAGCGUUAUGUAGUGGUUAUAGAUGGGCUCACGGCCUAUCAGCUUGUUGGUGAGGUAACGGCUCACCAAGGCGACGACGGGUAGCCGGCCUGAGAGGGUGACCGGCCACACUGGGACUGAGACACGGCCCAGACUCCUACGGGAGGCAGCAGUGGGGAAUAUUGCACAAUGGGCGCAAGCCUGAUGCAGCGACGCCGCGUGAGGGAUGACGGCCUUCGGGUUGUAAACCUCUGUUAGCAGGGAAGAAGAGAAAUUGACGGUACCUGCAGAGAAAGCGCCGGCUAACUACGUGCCAGCAGCCGCGGUAAUACGUAGGGCGCGAGCGUUGUCCGGAAUUAUUGGGCGUAAAGAGCUUGUAGGCGGUUUGUCGCGUCUGCUGUGAAAGGCCGGGGCUUAACCCCGUGUAUUGCAGUGGGUACGGGCAGACUAGAGUGCAGUAGGGGAGACUGGAACUCCUGGUGUAGCGGUGGAAUGCGCAGAUAUCAGGAAGAACACCGAUGGCGAAGGCAGGUCUCUGGGCUGUAACUGACGCUGAGAAGCGAAAGCAUGGGGAGCGAACAGG
rnacentral:rRNA from 1 species